UCUGUGCACUUUACUCUUUGGACUUCUCCUC
rnacentral:piRNA from 2 species